CCAGUAUAUACGCCCAACUAAAGAACUUUGAUUCUUCUUCUGAAGACAAAAGAGAAAACCAAGGAAUGACUCAUUGGAGCUGAGAUCUGUGAAGGUGAAUGUUUCCCUGAGUAAAAUGAAUUAGAGCACAGAUUCUUAAAGGAAGCCUCUAGAGACUGGACCUGAGUUUCAUGGACAUAGAGUCUACAAGGCAGAAAAGGUUGGGUUCCCUUGGAUGUCAAGGGUACAGGAGCCAAGUACAAACAGAGGUCCUGUAGCACCUGCAGAAGAUAGGAAUGGAGGACAGACUUGACGAUGCUCGUGGAACCUCGGAGAAGCUGGGGAUUUGGAAAUGGGGGUGAGAACAGGGGCUGGAGGAGGUAGAGAUCUGGAAGUUCUCUGCACAGAGGGUAGUGACAUAUUACACAGGGCCCCUGGGGGACAGGGAUUGUAGAAUCUUGGAUUGUAAGAGAAACGUAACUCCACCUGGUUCAGGCAGCAGAGGGAAUUUGUAGGCUCAUAUGACCAAAAACUGAAGCAAGACUGGACCCAGUGGCUCAUGCAAGGUUACUGGGACUUGGUUUUACAUCUCAUCUCCGUCUCUCUGCUCUGCUUCCCUCCUCUGCCUUGGUCUCAUUCUCAGGCAGACUCUCUCCUCCCUGUGGGAAGCUGGCUGCCAGUAGUGCCACCAUCACACACAGCUCCCAGCAAAUAGAUCCAUUGAACUGGACAGUUCUGUCCAAGUUCCAUAAUUGGAGCUUAUUGGAUCACAUGCCAGUUGUUGAAAUGCAGCGGCAAAGGGUCUUUCUACAGUGCUCUGAUUGGCCAAGCCUGGGUCACAUGUUUGUCCCUGCAUAUAGGGACAGGGUCUUCUCUUCUAGUGGUACUUGGAUUGAGAGUGGAGGCAGGGGCUCCUCCAGGAGAGAUGGUGGAUAUUGGAAUGCGAUCCACAGGCAAAGGGGAGCUGGAGGCUCACGGGCGGCUCCCCAGUUACUAGGAGAGAGAAGCUGGAGUCUGGGCUGGCAGCACAGCAGA
rnacentral:lncRNA from 1 species